GAUGAACGCUGACAGAAUGCUUAACACAUGCAAGUCUACUUGAUUCUACUUCGGUAGUUGAUGGUGGCGGACGGGUGAGUAACGCGUAAAGAAUCUGCCCUUUAGUUUGGGAUAACCUUUGGAAACGAAGGCUAAUACCGGAUAUUAUGGAGACGUCGCAUGGCGACUCCAUGAAAGCUAUAUGCGCUAGAGGAGGACUUUGCGUCCCAUUAGUUAGUUGGUGAGGUAAUGGCUCACCAAGACCGCGAUGGGUAGCCGGCCUGAGAGGGUGAUCGGCCACAAGGGAACUGAGACACGGUCCUUACUCCUACGGGAGGCAGCGGUGGGGAAUAUUGGACAAUGGGCCACAAGCCUGAUCCAGCAAUUCUGUGUGCACGAUGAAGGUCUUCGGAUUGUAAAGUGCUUUCAGCAGGGAAGAAAAAAAUGACGGUACCUGCAGAAGAAGCGACGGCUAAAUAUGUGCCAGCCGCCGCAGUAAAAC
rnacentral:rRNA from 1 species